UCAAAUAGAUUUAGAGAUCACAGGUGGAACACAAUUUCCCUUGCACGUUCUAACCACUAGAUGUCAGCAGAUAGCAAAGGCAGGAUAAUUUGAAUGACUUGCUACUGCUGUUCUGAUAUUGAUGAUAUCUGUGAGCCCAUAUAGAUCUGUUAGGGUUGGUUUGCUUUCGCACUGUGGGUGUAAUUGAGCAAUUUGCAUAACUACCCUUGACUUGAGCAACUUAUCUACAUUGUUUAUAUUGAUUUUAAAACAAUCAAGCUAAUUGAAAAAUUGACAGAAGCAUUUGGAGUCCCCUUUUUUGAAACCGAUCGUAUUUUUCUAUUGCGCUCCGAAUUGGAAUGUUUUGAGAAAAAUGUUUGCUAACUCCGCUGCUAAGGAAUGAGAGUGUGUUUUCAUGUUAGCUGCUGUAGCUAGCUAGGGUAAUUGUGCCACUAACUUUGUCAAACAACCAAAAUUAGCCGUGUUCAGUACACCAAUACAGCCCUUGCAUACAUGCAAAGGUGAAUGUGAGAAACCACCUGAAAAGAAGAACAUCAACCGCAGCCGGUAUGAACCAUUUGUUCUCCCGUGCAUUGCAGAGUUUCUCGAGUUUCUCGGGACAGCCUUCUUCAUCUUCACCAAUUGGUUUCAGUGAUCAAAAACCCAACGGACACCGGUAGACUGCUGCCAGCUGUGGCAUAUGGGGUUGCUCUGUCCAUCUGCAUAGCCAUCACAACAGCAGUGAGGUUGUGGAGGCCACUUACUAACGGUCUGCAACGUCAACAGGCAGAGCAAGACCCUCAUAGAACCUUUCUGCAUCCGACUGACUGUCACCGUCGGUAUUCUGGGAAGGCUCCCUCCUGGGGGACCCAAGAAUAUGACUCAUCAUGAAGAAGAUAACCAGCACUUGUUUGAACUGUGAAACACUGAGGUGUAGUUUAUGCACCGAUGCGUCUGGGAGUAAACAUAUUACCUAUCAACUUGGAUAUGAUACGUUUUCUUAUGCAUGCUCUCUGACAUAAAGGCUGUCAGGAAGAUAUGACACCCAUGUUAUAUUAUAAACUCAGAUUAAAUAGGUAGGCCUACCAUCACAUCUUAACACUAUGUACUGUAACUAACUAUCUUUGUCCAUCUGCGACAGUACCAGUUGAUCUUUGUGUCCUCUGCUAGCUGAGUGCCCUCCACACCAAACCACUGUUGAGACCAUUCAUUCCUCUGCUUCCUCUUUAGCCUCAGAUGCUAACAGCUAUUUCCUCUCUGAGAUCCAGCAUUCUCUGUCCGACACUCCUUUACGGAGCGACGCACACGUGGUGAAUCGUCUCCCUAGACACAGAUGGGUCCUCAGACGUCCGUGUUUUUGAAUGUCACACCGAGUCCUGGAGGCUCCCUGCCUGGCCCGCCUGGGCCCGUCUGACUGAUUAUUACUAUCGUUGGUCUGUCAGCAUCAAUGGGAAAUGAUAUUGGCCCACAGUCGUAUCAGACCUCGCAUGUUAUUGAUACGACUGUUAAACUCCACAGCCCAGCUGCCCGCCCGCCUCCUACCAGGGUGCAAUUAAAUCUACAUGCCUCUCGCUUCUGUUUGUGUGACAGAGAGUAAUGGGACCAAUAGUUAACGGUAACUAAAAAUAAUGUGAUGCAUCAUGCCUUAUAUUACAAACACACACCACAGCGUCACAUAUGGGUUAUUACCAAAUGUGAUCUAUUUAAUUCUAGUCUUGUCAGGUUUUCCCAGCAUA